rnacentral:rRNA from 1 species
CCUACGGGAGGCAGCAGUGGGGAAUAUUGGACAAUGGGGGGAACCCUGAUCCAGCCAUGCCGCGUGUGUGAAGAAGGCCCUCGGGUUGUAAAGCACUUUCAGUGAGGAAGAACGCCUGGUGGUUAAUACCCAUCAGGAAAGACAUCACUCACAGAAGAAGCACCGGCUAACUCCGUGCCAGCAGCCGCGGUAAUACGGAGGGUGCGAGCGUUAAUCGGAAUUACUGGGCGUAAAGCGCGCGUAGGUGGCUUGAUAAGCCGGUUGUGAAAGCCCCGGGCUCAACCUGGGAACGGCAUCCGGAACUGUGAAGCUAGAGUGCAGGAGAGGAAGGUAGAAUUCCCGGUGUAGCGGUGAAAUGCGUAGAGAUCGGGAGGAAUACCAGUGGCGAAGGCGGCCUUCUGGACUGACACUGACACUGAGGUGCGAAAGCGUGGGUAGCAAACAGGAUUAGAUACCCCUGUAGUC